CACAUCAUGUUGAAAUAUCAGUUCCCAUAUGAUCACUGAAGUUAAGCAAUGUUGGGCAUGGUCAUUUCUUAGAUGGGUGACUGCUUGGAAACACCAGGUGCAGUA